rnacentral:lncRNA from 1 species
AUUAGCAAUCCUUGUGGAAGGAGUUAAUCAGGGAUGAGUCAUGGAGGAGAUAAGGAACACUGCCACACCUGGCCUUAACAGCUUAUGAAGAUGGUAAUAGAAUGCACACUUUUUGUUACAACUUACAUUAUAACCUAAGACACAUAGAAAACUACAAAUUUGCAUUAAAUGAAUGGUUAGCAUAUUUCAGUGUCAUAAAGAAAAGCAGGAGAAGAGUGGUCUUCCUUCAGAAAUGCAAACAUUUGCUCCUCAGCUGUAGGUUUAUAUACUCUCUAUAGCAAAUGCUGAAAAAUACUGCCAUAGUUGAGCUCACUUUAUAGCUGGGAGUGCUAAGCAUCCAGUAAAUGCAAGCAACAAGCAGGUUCCUGUUGCUGAAGGUCUACAAAGGUCGGUAUUCAACAGACUGCAAUAACUUGGUUGGUACACAUUGCCCACCAUUGCCAGUGCUUCACUUUGUACUGAUCAGAAAUGUUGAACAUGAUCCCCUGAACAAGAAAACACCCUGUUUCUAUGGGAGAAAUAGGAAAAUGAGAACAUUUUACCUACAAGAUCUCCUGUGCAGCUGGAAAAUAGGGCAUCAUUAUCUGUCAAGAAGGACUGCCAUAGAUCUACAGACUGAGAAACAAAUGCAGAAGGGUUAUAUCAGGAUAAUUUUACAUUUUGGAUGGCUGUAGAGAAGAGUGUCGUGAGCUGAAUAAGGAACUGCUGGAUCAUCUUCUCUCA